UACGAAGGGUGCAAGCGUUGCUCGGAAUCACUGGGCGUAAAGGGCGCGUAGGCGGCCAUUCAAGUCGGGGGUGAAAGCCCAGGGCUCAACCCUGGAAUUGCCUUCGAUACUGUUUGGCUAGAGACCGGAAGAGGUAAGUGGAACUGCGAGUGUAGAGGUGAAAUUCGUAGAUAUUCGCAAGAACACCAGUGGCGAAGGCGGCUUACUGGUCCGGUUCUGACGCUGAGGCGCGAAAGCGUGGGGAGCAAACAGG
rnacentral:rRNA from 1 species